GACGUAGGGCGCGAGCGUUGUCCGGAAUCAUUGGGCGUAAAGAGCGCGUAGGCGGCCCUGUAAGUCCGCUGUGAAAGUCAAGGGCUCAACCCUUGGAUGCCGGUGGAUACUGGCAGGGCUAGAGUCCGGAAGAGGCGAGUGGAAUUCCUGGUGUAGCGGUGAAAUGCGCAGAUAUCAGGAGGAACACCGAUGGCGAAGGCAGCUCGCUGGGACGGUACUGACGCUGAGGCGCGAAAGCGUGGGGAGCAAACAGG
rnacentral:rRNA from 1 species